rnacentral:rRNA from 1 species
GCUUAACACAUGCAAGUCGAGGGGCAGCAUUUUAGUUUGCUUGCAAACUGAAGAUGGCGACCGGCGCACGGGUGAGUAACACGUAUCCAACCUGCCGAUAACUCCGGAAUAGCCUUUCGAAAGAAAGAUUAAUACCGGAUAGCAUACGAAUAUCGCAUGAUAUUUUUAUUAAAGAAUUUCGGUUAUCGAUGGGGAUGCGUUCCAUUAGUUUGUUGGCGGGGUAACGGCCCACCAAGACUACGAUGGAUAGGGGUUCUGAGAGGAAGGUCCCCCACAUUGGAACUGAGACACGGUCCAAACUCCUACGGGAGGCAGCAGUGAGGAAUAUUGGUCAAUGGGCGAGAGCCUGAACCAGCCAAGUAGCGUGAAGGAUGAAGGCUCUAUGGGUCGUAAACUUCUUUUAUAUGGGAAUAAAGUUUUCCACGUGUGGAAUUUUGUAUGUACCAUAUGAAUAAGGAUCGGCUAACUCCGUGCCAGCAGCCGCGGUAAUACGGAGGAUCCGAGCGUUAUCCGGAUUUAUUGGGUUUAAAGGGAGCGUAGGUGGAUUGUUAAGUCAGUUGUGAAAGUUUGCGGCUCAACCGUAAAAUUGCAGUUGAAACUGGCAGUCUUGAGUACAGUAGAGGUGGGCGGAAUUCGUGGUGUAGCGGUGAAAUGCUUAGAUAUCACGAAGAACUCCGAUUGCGAAGGCAGCUCACUAGACUGUCACUGACACUGAUGCUCGAAAGUGUGGGUAUCAAACAGGAUUAGAUACCCUGGUAGUCCACACAGUAAACGAUGAAUACUCGCUGUUUGCGAUAUACAGUAAGCGGCCAAGCGAAAGCAUUAAGUAUUCCACCUGGGGAGUACGCCGGCAACGGUGAAACUCAAAGGAAUUGACGGGGGCCCGCACAAGCGGAGGAACAUGUGGUUUAAUUCGAUGAUACGCGAGGAACCUUACCCGGGCUUAAAUUGCAACAGAAUAUAUUGGAAACAGUAUAGCCGUAAGGCUGUUGUGAAGGUGCUGCAUGGUUGUCGUCAGCUCGUGCCGUGAGGUGUCGGCUUAAGUGCCAUAACGAGCGCAACCCUUAUCUUUAGUUACUAACAGGUCAUGCUGAGGACUCUAGAGAGACUGCCGUCGUAAGAUGUGAGGAAGGUGGGGACGACGUCAAAUCAGCACGGCCCUUACGUCCGGGGCUACACACGUGUUACAAUGGGGGGUACAGAAGGCGGCUACCUGGUGACAGGAUGCUAAUCCCAAAAACCUCUCUCAGUUCGGAUCGAAGUCUGCAACCCGACUUCGUGAAGCUGGAUUCGCUAGUAAUCGCGCAUCAGCCAUGGCGCGGUGAAUACGUUCCCGGGCCUUGUACACACCGCCCGUCAAGCCAUGAAAGCCGGGGGUACCUGAAGUACGUAACCGCAAGGAGCGUCCUAGGGUAAAACUGGUAAUUGGGGCUAA